rnacentral:rRNA from 1 species
AUCUGAUGCGGCUGCUACACAUGCAGUCGAGCGGCAGCACAAGGGAGUUUACUCCUGAGGUGGCGAGCGGCGGACGGGUGAGUAAUGCCUAGGGAUCUGCCCAGUCGAGGGGGAUAACAGUUGGAAACGACUGCUAAUACCGCAUACGCCCUACGGGGGAAAGGAGGGGACCUUCGGGCCUUCCGCGAUUGGAUGAACCUAGGUGGGAUUAGCUAUUGGUGAGGUAAUGGCUCACCAAGGCGACGAUCCCUAGCUGUUCUGAGAGGAUGAUCAGCCACACUGGGACUGAGACACGGCCCAGACUCCUACGGGAGGCAGCAGUGGGGAAUAUUGCACAAUGGGGGAAACCCUGAUGCAGCCAUGCCGCGUGUGUGAAGAGCCUUCGGGUUGUAAAGCACUUUCAGUAGGGAGGAAAGGAUGUAGUUUAAUACGCUAUAUCUGUGACGUUACCUACAGAAGAAGGACCGGCUAACUCCGUGCCAGCAGCCGCGGUAAUACGGAGGGUCCGAGCGUUAAUCGGAAUUACUGGGCGUAAAGCGUGCGCAGGCGGUUUGUUAAGCGAGAUGUGAAAGCCCUGGGCUCAACCUAGGAAUAGCAUUUCGAACUGGCGAACUAGAGUCUUGUAGAGGGGGGUAGAAUUCCAGGUGUAGCGGUGAAAUGCGUAGAGAUCUGGAGGAAUACCGGUGGCGAAGGCGGCCCCCUG